rnacentral:sRNA from 1 species
GAAAGAGUCUAUUUCAUCCUGGUUUGAA